UUUCCGGCCUUUUGCUGGUUAGGACGGCGUGGACGUGGCUGGCGUGUCGUAGCCUACCCCAGUGAGGCGGCCUAUGCGGCGGGCCUUGGCUUUUCAUUUGCUUUGGGAAAAAUGGAGGCCACGUUGAUGCCAGAAGGGAUUGAUUGGCCUUUGAAACUGAGAAAUGGAAGAGCAGAAAACGAUGCUGUCUGCUUUUGGACCCUGAAAAAAAGCAGAUGAAAAAGUCUUCUUGGAAAUGUUAAGAUUGUUGGAUCUUCUAACUUCCACCUUCAAAGAGGUACAGUCUGCCUCAGCUGAUGGGAAAAGAAGCUUAUGAUUUGAGGAUCCUUUUUACUCCUAUAGCUGGAAGACUUUAGAAUAUCACUGAAAGUAGAAGCGUAUCUAUGCUAGGAGAGAAGUAGAAAACUUGUUCUCUACCCUAAAGCAGGUAUUUUCUACUGUUGAAGCUGCAUGUGGCCACAGGCUUACUAUAUGUGUAUAUACUUUGAUAUAUAUGCUUAAAAAAUAAAAUGAUUUGAAAACAUGUUUCAUAAUAA